UUACGCUGAUACGCGUUAGAGGAUCAACAAAAACGCUGAUAUCCCAAAUCAGUUCCAAAAUUUUGUCUCCCAAAAGUCUCACCUGCCAAAUUUCAGUAAAUCUUUCUAUAUGGCGAUGGCGAUGGCGAUGGCGAUGGAGCCGGAGAAAAGUUCCAACUUUUUUAACUCCAUACGCUGAUACGCGUUAGAGGAGAAGUAACAAAAACCCUGAUAUCCCCAGUCGGUUCCAAAAUUUUCUCUCACCUGCCAUAUUUCAGUCAAUCUUUCAACUUCAAUAUGGCGACGGUGGGCGACGGCGAUAGAGCCGGAAAAAAAGUUCCUUAAGAGGUCUUUCCUGCCAGAUCUAAAUGAAGAACCUCAGAAUGAUCUGCAGGCAGUGCAAAAUAAUUCAACUGAAGUAUCAGAACUGAGCACUCAUCAACGUGGGAAUUCUGCUACCAUUGGGAUAUCAGAGACUGAACAAAUGCUGAAACAGAAAACCGAUUCUAGGUCUGAAACCAAGCACUUGAUAUCGUUGUUGCAUUCAAGAACUUCUGAUAAUGAUGUUGUUGAAAGGGGUGGAGCAAAGCCUCCUCCUUUCAGUUCGCCAUCUCUUACUUAAGGCUUGAAGCAUCAACAACAAUUGGCUCUCUGAAAAAACGUAAACAUGGAAACGAGAGGAAUAACUUCCAUGCUGCUGUUUUCACUUCAAGAGUCGGAUCUUGAAGAGGAGAUUGUGUCACCUGCUAAGCUUACAAACGCCUACAAAGAUAGCACCAUUGGCACUAUGGAUACCCUUCACAUUUCAUUAAUGAGUGGUUGCAAGUGGAGAUUUACAGCAUGAGAAAGGGUUCCUGGGAGUUCAUCGCUCAAAGGUUUCCAUGGCGGGUCAGACGGAUUCAUGAUGACGACAUCGUUUGCGCAGAUGUCCAUGUUCAUUGGCUUACUUGUAUUCGUGGGAAUUCAGACACAAUAGUGGCGUUUGAUUUGGGUUCAAAGACAUUCCGUGUGAUACUUCUUCCACAUCCUACAUAUGGCCGCUCGAAAUCUUUAAGAGUUUUGGAUAAAAAGCAUUGUGUGAUUCUUAUGGAUGUGUUUGACGUGGUGAUGGAUGAGUAUGAGGUGGUUGAAUCAUCGUUCAUGAAUGGCCAUGUCUUUUCACAGUUUAUUGAUGAUGAUACAUAUCCGUUUGAAUUCACAUUACACGAUGAGUUUCUUGCCAAAAAUACCUAUAAUUGUCAUGUUUUUUACGACCCAAUUGCAAACGAGGUUAAAAUGUUGGAGAAUGAUUGUUCAUAUGGAGAAUAUGGCAAGGAUAAAAUUGUGGAGUA